UGAUCUUCAUAGGAUUUUCUUUUUGUUUUUAUUUUUCUUUUCUUCCAAAUUGAGCACUUGAUCACCUUGUGGUCACUACCACCAUCACCAUGAUCCUCUAGGAUCCACCACUUGGCAUGGGACUUAUCAUUUCAUGUCUAUACACUUAGCAUAAUGAUUAGUCCCUAGGUUUCAUCAAUUAUCUAAAACCAAAAUAGGGCUUUUAGCUAGCUAGAGUCUGACGACUAACUCUACUUGAGAAGUGCGCGUGAGGGAGCAUCAAACCAAGUCUCAUGGGGACAUU
rnacentral:lncRNA from 1 species